ACUUCCACAUGUGUUCACAUGCAGGAAUGACUGGAACAACGCGCCCUACUCACUACCAUGUUUUACUGGAUGAGAUUGGCUUCUCCCCUAAUGAUCUCCAAGAGCUUGUGCAUUCAUUGUCCUAUGUAUAUCAGAGGAGCACAACUGCAAUAUCAAUCGGUAAGUACCGUGUUUCUGUUAUGCGGUAAUUGCCUAUUUUAUGUUGUGAGGGGUUUU